UACGGAGGGUGCGAGCGUUGUCCGGAAUCACUGGGCGUAAAGGGCGCGUAGGCGGCGCGGGGAGUCAACGGUGAAAGCUCGGCGCUCAACGCCGAGUCGGCCGUCGAUACUCCCCGUGCUCGAGCACUGUAGAGGCAGGUGGAAUUCCGGGUGUAGCGGUGGAAUGCGUAGAGAUCCGGAAGAACACCGGUGGCGAAGGCGGCCUGACUGGGCAGGUACGCUGGACGCUGAGGCGCGACAGCGUGGGGAGCAAACAGG
rnacentral:rRNA from 1 species